AUUGAACGCUGGCGGCAUGCCUUACACAUGCAAGUCGAACGGCAGCACGGGUGCUUGCACCUGGUGGCGAGUGGCGAACGGGUGAGUAAUACAUCGGAACGUACCUUAUCGUGGGGGAUAACGCAGCGAAAGUUGCGCUAAUACCGCAUACGCCCUGAGGGGGAAAGCGGGGGACCGUAAGGCCUCGCGCGAUUAGAGCGGCCGAUGUCUGAUUAGCUUGUUGGUGAGGUAAAAGCUCACCAAGGCGAUGAUCAGUAGCUGGUCUGAGAGGACGAUCAGCCAAACUGGGACUGGGACACGGCCCAGACUCCUACGGGAGGCAGCAGUGGGGAAUUUUGGACAAUGGGGGCAACCCUGAUCCAGCAAUGCCGCGUGAGUGAAGAAGGCCUUCGGGUUGUAAAGCUCUUUUGUCAGGGAAGAAACAGCAGCUCUAACACAGUCUGCGAAUGACGGUACCUGAAGAAUAAGCACCGGCUAACUACGUGCCAGCAGCCGCGGUAA
rnacentral:rRNA from 1 species